CAUCUUCUGUGUUACCUUUCUCCUGCCCAGGCAGCUUCUCACCUGGCAGCUCAGGUGCGGCAGGUGGACAACCCCCCCCGCAACCCCUGCAUGAGUCCAUCCUCCACCAGGGGGUGCUCUCAAAAAACGUAGCUCCCAGGCCCCAGACCCUGCGGUUGACCUGGACUUCUGCAUUGUCACCCAGCUCUUGGGAAAUUGUUGGUCUGAGCCCUUUAAAAAUAUCCUCUGCCCAAGUGACCUCAUUUGGUGUUUAUAUAUUUAGGAAAAGCCAUUUCUCUCUCCACCAUGACUCUGCUCUUUCUUGUUCUGCUUUUCCUCUUGUUUUUCACAAAGCCCCCUCUCAGCCUGGCCGGGUUCUCUGAAUAAAUGUUGUUUAUUCCAGUGUGUUGUUUUUAUCCGUUUUCCUGGCUGGGUGCCAGACUCUCAGAAAUCUGUUCCUGGCACCCCUGGUGGAUUUCAGCAAGCCCUGUGGUCACCAGGGCAACACUGCAGAAGAGAAAAAAACAUCCCUUAAAAAACAGCCUAGAUGCAGAAGACACCAGUUCCUGAUACUGUGAUUUUUACAAAUUGAAGGUUUUUAACAACCCUGCAAGUCUAUCAACACCAUUUUCCCACCAGCAUUUGUUCAUUUUGUAUCUCUAUGUCACAUUUUGGUAGUUCUCGCAAUAUUUUUCAUUUUUUCAUUAUUAUUGUAUUCGUUACGGUGAUCUGUGAUCAGUGACCUUUAAUAUGACUAUUGUAAUCGUU